rnacentral:rRNA from 1 species
UGAGGAAUCUUCGGCAAUGGGCGAAAGCCUGACCGAGCCAUGCCGCGUGAGUGAUGACGGCCUUAGGGUUGUAAAGCUCUUUCGACGGGGACGAUAAUGACGGUACCCGUAGAAGAAACCCCGGCUAACUUCGUGCCAGCAGCCGCGGUAAUACGAAGGGGGUUAGCGUUGUUCGGAAUUACUGGGCGUAAAGCGCGCGUAGGCGGAUUGUUAAGUCGGGGGUGAAAUCCCGGGGCUCAACCCCGGAACUGCCUCCGAUACUGGCAAUCUUGAGUCCGAGAGAGGAUGGUGGAACACCCAGUGUAGAGGUGAAAUUCGUAGAUAUUGGGUAGAACACCGGUGGCGAAGGCGACCAUCUGGCUCGGUACUGACGCUGAGGUGCGAAAGUGUGGGGAGCAAACAGGAUUAGAUACCCCCGUAGUCC